GCGACCGUAGCUCAGCUGGAUAGAGUACCUGGCUACGAACCAGGCGGUCGGAGGUUCGAAUCCUCCGGUCGCG
rnacentral:tRNA from 1 species